GCUUACAAUCCGUCAGAGCCUCUUUUGUGGGGUGAUGGCGUGCCUUUUGAAGAAUGAGCCUGCGAGUCAGCGGCAUGUCGCGAGGUUAACCCGUGUGGGGUAGUCGUAGCGAAAGCGAAUCCUAACGAGGGUGUGUUAGUGGCAUGUUCUGGACCCGAAGCGGGGUGAUCUACCCAUGGCCAGUGUGAAGCAGCAGUAAGAUGCUGUGGAGGCGCGAACCCACUUAGGUUAAAAACUGAGGGGAUGAGCUGUGGGUAGGGGUGAAAGGCCAAUCAAACUCCGUGAUAGCUGGUUCUCCCCGAAAUGCAUUUAGGUGCAGCGUCGUGUGUUUCUUCCUGGAGGUAGAGCUACUGGUUGGUUGAGCGGGACCACAAUCUUAGCAAUGUCAGCCAAACUCCGAAUGCCAGUGAAGUCAGAAUACGGCAGUGAGACUGCGGGGGAUAAGCUCCGUUGGUCGAGAGGGAAACAGCCCAGAUCGCCGGUUAAGGCCCCUAAGCGUGUACUAAGUGGGAAAGGAUGUGGGAUCGCGAAGACAGCCAGGAGGUUGGCUUAGAAGCAGCCAUUCCUUUAAAGAGUGCGUAAUAGCUCACUAGUCAAG
rnacentral:rRNA from 1 species